rnacentral:snRNA from 1 species
GUGCUUUAGCAGCACACAUACUAAAACUGAAAUUAUACAGAGAAGAUUAGCAUGGCCCCUGCACAAGGAUGACAUGCAAAUUCGUGAAGUGUUCCACAAAAAA